GACGUAGGGCGCAAGCGUUGUCCGGAUUUAUUGGGCGUAAAGAGCUCGUAGGCGGCUUGUCGCGUCGUCUGUGAAAUCCCGCGGCUCAACCGCGGGUCUGCAGUCGAUACGGGCAGGCUAGAGUUCGGUAGGGGAGACUGGAAUUCCUGGGUGUAGCGGUGAAAUGCGCAGAUAUCAGGAAGAACACCGGUGGCGAAGGCGGCUCUCUGGGGCCUUACCUGACGCUGAGGAGCGAAAGCGUGGGUAGCGAACAGG
rnacentral:rRNA from 1 species